AGUAGGAUAGGCGAAGCGUGCGAUUGGAUUGCACGUCUAAGCAGUAAGGCUGAGUAUUAGGCAAAUCCGGUACUCGUUAAGGCUGAGCUGUGAUGGGGAGAAGACAUUGUGUCUUCGAGUCGUUGAUUUCACACUGCCGAGAAAAGCCUCUAGAUAGAAAAUAGGUGCCCGUACCGCAAACCGACACAGGUAGUCAAGAUGAGAAUUCUAAGGUGAGCGAGCGAACUCUCGUUAAGGAACUCGGCAAAAUGACCCCGUAACUUCGGGAGAAGGGGUGCUCUUUAGGGUUAACGCCCAGAAGAGCCGCAGUGAAUAGGCCCAAGCGACUGUUUAUCAAAAACACAGGUCUCUGCUAAACCGUAAGGUGAUGUAUAGGGGCUGACGCCUGCCCGGUGCUGGAAGGUUAAGAGGAGUGGUUAGCUUCUGCGAAGCUACGAAUCGAAGCCCCAGUAAACGGCGGCCGUAACUAUAACGGUCCUAAGGUAGCGAAAUUCCUUGUCGGGUAAGUUCCGACCCGCACGAAAGGCGUAACGAUUUGGGCACUGUCUCAACGAGAGACUCGGUGAAAUCAUAGUACCUGUGAAGAUGCAGGUUACCCGCGACAGGACGGAAAGACCCCGUGGAGCUUUACUGUAGCCUGAUAUUGAAAUUCGGCACAGCUUGUACAGGAUAGGUAGGAGCCUUUGAAACGUGAGCGCUAGCUUACGUGGAGGCGCUGGUGGGAUACUACCCUAGCUGUGUUGGCUUUCUAACCCGCACCACUUAUCGUGGUGGGAGACAGUGUCAGGCGGGCAGUUUGACUGGGGCGGUCGCCUCCUAAAAGGUAACGGAGGCGCUCAAAGGUUCCCUCAGAAUGGUUGGAAAUCAUUCAUAGAGUGUAAAGGCAUAAGGGAGCUUGACUGCGAGACCUACAAGUCGAGCAGGGUCGAAAGACGGACUUAGUGAUCCGGUGGUUCCGCAUGGAAGGGCCAUCGCUCAACGGAUAAAAGCUACCCCGGGGAUAACAGGCUUAUCUCCCCCAAGAGUUCACAUCGACGGGGAGGUUUGGCACCUCGAUGUCGGCUCAUCGCAUCCUGGGGCUGUAGUCGGUCCCAAGGGUUGGGCUGUUCGCCCAUUAAAGCGGUACGCGAGCUGGGUUCAGAACGUCGUGAGACAGUUCGGUCCCUAUCCGUCGUGGGCGUAGGAAAUUUGAGAGGAGCUGUCCUUAGUACGAGAGGACCGGGAUGGACAUACCUCUGGUGUACCAGUUGUCGUGCCAACGGCAUAGCUGGGUAGCUAUGUGUGGACGGGAUAAGUGCUGAAAGCAUCUAAGCAUGAAGCCCCCCUCAAGAUGAGAUUUCCCAACUUCGGUUAUAAGAUCCCUCAAAGAUGAUGAGGUUAAUAGGUUCGAGGUGGAAGCAUGGUGACAUGUGGAGCUGACGAAUACUAAUCGAUCGAAGACUUAAUCAA
rnacentral:rRNA from 1 species